rnacentral:rRNA from 1 species
UUCUUAGUGGCGGACGGGUGAGUAACGCGUGGGUAACCUGCCCUGUACAGGGGAUAACACUUAGAAAUAGGUGCUAAAACCGCAUAAGCGCACAGUACCGCAUGGUACAGUGUGAAAAACUCCGGUGGUACAGGAUGGACCCGCGUCUGAUUAGCUGGUUGGAGGGGUAACGGCCCACCAAGGCGACGAUCAGUAGCCGGCCUGAGAGGGUGAACGGCCACAUUGGGACUGAGACACGGCCCAAACUCCUACGGGAGGCAGCAG